UCCCGUUUAGCUCAGUUGGUAGAGCGCGUCACUAGUAAACGCACAUGACGAGGUCAGUCGUUCGAGUCGGCUAAUGGGAA